rnacentral:tRNA from 1 species
GGAGUGGUAGUUCAGUUGGUUAGAAUACCGGCCUGUCACGUCGGUGGUCGCGGGUUCGAGUCCCGUCCACUCCGCCA